rnacentral:rRNA from 1 species
UACGAAGGGGGCUAGCGUUGUUCGGAAUCACUGGGCGUAAAGGGCGCGUAGGCGGCCGAUCAAGUCGGGGGUGAAAGCCUGUGGCUCAACCACAGAAUUGCCUUCGAUACUGUUUGGCUUGAGACCGGAAGAGGUAAGUGGAACUGCGAGUGUAGAGGUGAAAUUCGUAGAUAUUCGCAAGAACACCAGUGGCGAAGGCGGCUUACUGGUCCGGUUCUGACGCUGAGGCGCGAAAACGUGGGGAGCAAACAGG